rnacentral:misc_RNA from 1 species
UUUUCAGCUUAAAAGCUCUCAUAAUAACUUGUGAGUUGAAAAUUACUGCUAACAAGAAGAGAAUUAGCAAAUUGCAUACUUGCCAAUGUAUGCUGGUCUGCUCAAACACCUUCAUCAAGAUAUUAAAGAGCUGGAGGGGGAGCUCACAUUUCUAAGGUCAGAGUCAUUUCAGUACACUGCUGCCAUCGACAAAUCAUAUUUGCAGCUGCAAAUUGAGCUUUCUCGCCUUACUAAAAUAAGUCACAGUAGAAAUGCUCUUCACGUGUGUCAUCAACACCUCACCAACGAAGCUUUCCAGUUUCUGUAUCGACAGCUGCUGCUCUACAGGAAGCCACACUGGGAUGUACAAGCUUCUAAAAUCCCUAUCUUGCUAACCAAGUGUGGCUUGAAGGUGUGGGAUGUGCUGCAGUCAUUAUUUAGACUCCCUUGUAAGCCAACUCUCUUGAAGUAUAAAGCUCUAGCUAGGAAAGAUCCUUCUUUAUUUGAUAACUCACUGCUCAUGUACGAGUUGGUUAAAAAACAGCAUAAGAGUUGCUUCAAGCGUGCUCGAAGGAAAGACUUCGGCACACAUAAAAUUGCUCGCACAAAGCUCUCUGUGUCAGAUGUUCUACGAGAUUUCAUUGAGAAAAAUGUUGUCUGCACCACUCGAUGACCAACUUUUGAUUUUUACCUUCUUAAAUCAAUUAGAAAACAGGAAUGUUUAUUUUUUAGUUAAAAUAUCAAUAACUCCUUAUAUGUUUAUAAUAUAGAGGAAGAUAACCAAAGAUUUUUGUUAAAAUGGAAGUUGAAGUUCUGUUGUUGUGAUCUCAAUUUGUUUUCUGAGAUACUAACCCAACUAUUUGUAAUGGUCAUUUAUGUGUUAAGGAAUUUUUUGUAUACUACCUCUCAUGUUUUUUAGUAAAUUCCUGGAGGUUUAA